rnacentral:lncRNA from 1 species
UUUGAUUAAAAAAAAUAAAAAACAAGAAGUAAUUGUAACAGGAUGCUGUUACGAAGUCUCCCAAACAAAGCUCCCAUAACUCGCCAUUCAUAUGGUCCCAUGUUCAUUUGAUUUGAUUUUUUGUCCCAUACAGGAAUAUAUAUGGCUUACGAGUAGGGAUCUCCACCAUUUACAAGUAUUCAAACAGGAGGGGGUGGUGGUGACCCCAGGGAAUUUACCUACAUUUCAUUUCAUUUGUUUUAUUGUCCCCUACAAGAAUGUAUAUGGUUUAAGGGUGGGGAUCUGGACCGUUUACAAGAUAAUAGCACAUUCUCAAAUUGAACGGGGUGGGGCAACCCCAGGAACUUCCCUUUAAUUUCAUUUGAUUAGCUUUAUUGUCCCAUACAAGAAUAUAUAUGGUUUAGGGGUGGGGAUGUUGACCGUUUACAAGUUUUCAAACAAGAGGGGGUAGGGUGACCCCAUAGGGACUUCCCUCUUAUUUCAUUUCAUUUGUUUUAUUGUCCCCUACAAGAAUAUAUAUGGUUUAGGGGUGGGGAUGUUGACCGUUUACAAGUUUUCAAACAAGAGGGGUAGGGGUUACCCCCUACGGAAUUCUCUUUUAUUUCCUUUCAUUUGUUUUAUUGUCCCCUACAAGAAUAUAUAUGGUUUAGGGGUGGGGAUGUUGACCGUUUACAAGUUUUCAAAUAAGAGGGGGUGGGGUUACCCCCUACGGAAUUUCCUUUUAUUUCAUUUCAUUUGUUUUAUUGUCCCCUACAAGAAUAUAUAUGGUUUAGGGGUGGGGAUGUUGACCGUUUACAAGUUUUCAAAUAAGAGGGGGUGGGGUGACCCCCUAGGAACUUCCCUUUAAUUUCAUUUCGUUUGUUUUAUUGUCCCCUACAAGAAUAUAUAUGGUUUAGGGGUGGGGAUGUUGACCGUUUACAAGUUUUCAAACAAGAGGGGGUGGGGAUGACCCCCUAGGGACUUCCCUUUAAUUUCAUUUCAUUUGUUUUAUUGUCCCCUACAAGAAUAUAUAUAGUUUAGGGGUGGGGAUCUGGACCAUUUACAAGAUAAUAGCACAUUCUCAAAUUGACUGGGGUGGGGAUGACCCCCUGGGACCUCCCAUUAAUUUCAUUUGAUUUGUUUUAUUGUCCCAUUCAAGAAUAUAUAUGGUUUAGGGGUGGGGAUCUGGACCGUUUACAAAAUAUAAGCAUAUUCUCAAAUUGAAGGGGGUGGGGAUGAACUCCCAGGGACUCCCCCUAUAUUUCAUGUGAUUUGUUUUAUUGUCCUAUAAUCAAUUCUGAAGACUGCAUGUAUCUAUCACUUACAGUUUUCAAGUUAUAUUCAUU